rnacentral:rRNA from 1 species
UACGGGGGGAGCAAGCGUUGUUCGGAUUUACUGGGCGUAAAGGGCGCGUAGGCGGCGUGACAAGUCACUUGUGAAAUCUCCGGGCUUAACCCGGAGCGGCCAAGUGAUACUGUCGUGCUAGAGUGCGGAAGGGGCUACUGGAAUUCUCGGUGUAGCGGUGAAAUGCGUAGAUAUCAAGAGGAACACCUGCGGCGAAGGCGGGUUGCUGGGCCGACACUGACGCUGAGGCGCGAAAGCCAGGGGAGCAAACGGG